rnacentral:rRNA from 1 species
CGGACGGGUGAGUAACGCGUGGGGAACCUGCCCUGUACCGGGGGAUAGCAGCCGGAAACGGCUGAUAAUACCGCAUAAGCGCACGAAUGUCGCAUGACAUGGUGUGAAAAACUCCGGUGGUAUAGGAUGGACCCGCGUCUGAUUAGCCAGUUGGUGGGGUAAAAGCCUACCAAAGCGAAGAUCAGUAGCCGAGUUGAGAGACUGACCGGCCACAUUGGGACUGAGACACGGCCCAGACUCCUACGGGAGGCAGCAGAA